rnacentral:rRNA from 1 species
CGGGUGAGUAACACGUGAGUAACCUGCCCCAGGCUUUGGGAUAACCCCGGGAAACCGGGGCUAAUACCGGAUAUGACCAUCUGUCGCAUGGUGGGUGGUGGAAAGAUUUUUUGGCUUGGGAUGGGCUCGCGGCCUAUCAGCUUGUUGGUGGGGUGAUGGCCUACCAAGGCGGCGACGGGUAGCCGGCCUGAGAGGGCGACCGGCCACACUGGGACUGAGACACGAUUACAGACUCCUACGGGAGGCAGCAGUGGGGAAUCUUGCACAAUGGGCGGAAGCCUGAUGCAGCGACGCCGCGUGAGGGAUGACGGCCUUCGGGUUGUAAACCUCUUUCAGCAGGGACGAAGCGUUUGUGACGGUACCUGCAGAAGAAGCGCCGGCCAACUACGUGCCAGCAGCCGCGGUAAGACGUAGGGCGCAAGCGUUGUCCGGAUUUAUUGGGCGUAAAGAGCUCGUAGGCGGCUUGUCGCGUCGACUGUGAAAACCCGUGGCUCAACUGCGGGCUUGCAGUCGAUACGGGCAGGCUAGAGUUCGGUAGGGGAGACUGGAAUUCCUGGUGUAGCGGUGAAAUGCGCAGAUAUCAGGAGGAACACCGGUGGCGAAGGCGGGUCUCUGGGCCGAUACUGACGCUGAGGAGCGAAAGCGUGGGGAGCGAACAGGAUUAGAUACCCUGGUAGUCCACGCUGUAAACGUUGGGCGCUAGGUGUGGGGGGCCUCUCCGGGUUCUCUGUGCCGCAGCUAACGCAUUAAGCGCCCCGCCUGGGGAGUACGGCCGCAAGCUUAAAACUCAAAGGAAUUGACGGGGGCCCGCA